AUAAGAGUCUUUUGCGACUUAAGGAAUAAGAUAUUUUUAAAAAUGUCACUUUAAUAGUGGUAAAGAUGAAAAGUGGUACCAUGAAACUGGUAAACAUAAGAUUUUCCCAUAUAAGAAAGUAUUUUAUUACUUAGAAGUAUAUUUUAUGUUAGGGAAAAUCGCAUUUUAAAUACUGAGACUGUCAUUUUCUAGCACUUUAAAUACUGAAGUUUUUUUACUAGCACCUUAAACCUUCAAAGUGAUUUUUUUAUCAUAAAAAACCUCCAAAGACGUUUUCAUAUUCAUAGACGACCGAUACUGUUUAUUUCACAGGUCAAAAUGAUGAUGUGUCGAUUUCUUUAUUUUUAAUAAAAAAUAAAAAUACAGAAAAAUACAUAAUGAAAUUUGAAAAAAAUGUAAAAAUUUAAAACAAAAUUUUAAAAAUCUAAAAAAUUCAAAAAACAUAAAAAAUUAAAAUUUCAAACGUAAAAAUAAAAUAAAAUAUUAAAAAUUCAAUAAAAUCAAAAAUAAGAUCUAAAAUUAAAAUGUCAAAUUUAAAAAAGAAAAUUUUUUAAAUAAAAAUUCUAAAUUCUAAAAUAAGAUCUAAAAUCGAAAUUUCAAACUUAAAAAUUAAAAUUGUAAAGAAAAAAUGUAAAUAUUUAACCAAAAAAAUUAUAUUUAUUUUAAAAUUUCAUCCACUUAAAGUGACAGUCACUUAUGAUGAUAUCAAAACUUGCUACCAUCAAAAAAAUUUUUUUUGAUAAUCCGGAUAUCCAGACACCUUACAUAGCCCGACUAGCGCCUAAGUACACUUCGCAGAAAACAUCUCGGGGGCCGCCAAUUUCACCCCAUGUUAAUUGAUGGUGACCACACGCAGAGCUAAUAAUUCUCUCAAAUAGAUUGUUUUGAGUUUUGUCCUAAAAAUAUUUUCUUAGAAAGAAAAUGACCAAAAUAUUUCAUUAAAGAUGCAAAAGACUUGUAUGCUCUAAAUAUAUAAAUACAAAUAAAUAAAGAAAAAUUUCAAAUUUUUUUUUAAUAUUUUAGAUCUUAUUUUAGAAUUUUAAGAAUUUUAUUUUCGUUUUUAAAUUUGAAAUUUAUAUUUUAGAUCUUAUUUUUGAAUUUUUAGAUUUUUUUAAUAUUUUAUUUUAUUUUUAAUUUGACAGUUUUAAUUUUUAAUUUUUCUGUUUUUUGAUUUUUUUUAAUUUUGUUUUGAAUUUUUAUAAUUUUUUCCAAUUUCAUUCAUUUUUUCUGUAUUUUUUUUCUUUAAGAAAAAAAAAAACUGACACGUCAUCAUUUUAUCCUAUAAAAUGAACAGUACCGGUCACCUAUGAACAGGAAAACGUCGUUGGAAGUUUAUCAUGAUAAAAAUGUCAAUUUGAAGGUUUAAAGUGCUAGUAAAAAAACUUGAGUGUUUAAAGUACCAGAAAAUGAUAUUUUCGGUGUUUAAAAUGCGAUUUUUCCUUUUAUGUUAUUAAAAUUAUUUUUUAAAUCCUUACUAAUAAAAGGGACCUUUUGAGGCUCCAUAGAGCG
rnacentral:lncRNA from 1 species